rnacentral:rRNA from 1 species
GUGGGGAAUCUUGCGCAAUGGGCGAAAGCCUGACGCAGCCAUGCCGCGUGAAUGAUGAAGGUCUUAGGAUUGUAAAAUUCUUUCACCGGGGACGAUAAUGACGGUACCCGGAGAAGAAGCUCCGGCUAACAUCGUGCCAGCAGCCGCGGUAAUACGAAGGGGGCUAGCGUUGCUCGGAAUUACUGGGCGUAAAGGGCGCGUAGGCGGACAGCUUAGUCAGAGGUGAAAGCCCAGGGCUCAACCUUGGAAUUGCCUUUGAUACUGGCUGUCUUGAGUUUGGGAGAGGUGAGUGGAACUCCGAGUGUAGAGGUGAAAUUCGUAGAUAUUCGGAAGAACACCAGUGGCGAAGGCGACUCACUGGCCCAAUACUGACGCUGAGGCGCGAAAGCGUGGGGAGCAAACAGGAUUAGAAACCCGAGUAGUCC